UACUAAACAAGCCUUAAACCUUUCUACCUCUCCAUUAGGUCUAUAUUUGACCUUAUACACCCAUUUUGACCCUAUAGCUUUUUUACCCUUAGGAAGAGUGGUCAAAAUCCAAGUAUCAUUCUGUUCAAGUGCUUGCAACUCCUGUUGCAUAGCCUUAACCCAAUUAGGGUCUGCUAAAGCUUGAGCAUAUGUGACAGGUUCUUUAAUCACAAACACAGAGUUUAGGUAAGAUAAAUGAGAUGGACUUAACAAGAUUUGAG
rnacentral:misc_RNA from 1 species